CACAGGAAUACAGCCUAGCCCUGUGCAGCUCCAAAGCAGAGGCAUUCUACCCACAGAUCCGUGCAGAAAUCAGAGCCAGGAAAGCCCUACUAGGUCAUGCAGACCACACACCUUUUAGAGCAGGAAAGUCCUCUCCAAUUGACAUUUAAUCUUCCUGGGAUUAGUCACAAGGAAAUUUCUCAAAGAGGAAAUUGUAUGAGCAAGCCUUUUGACCUGAUUUUUAUCAA
rnacentral:lncRNA from 1 species